AGUAACGCAGCUAGGCGUCCCAUGCUAUUGGGGAAAGGGCAAAGAGUGAAUCGAUGGGCGAUGAGCAGGAGAUGGUGAGAGGGAGAGAAGGAUGGUGAGGAGAACAAAUAAGUGGGUGCACAUUAAAUAAUAUGAUAUGCCAUUUAGCAGACAGUUUUAUCUAAAGCAACUUACAGUAGUGCGAGCACGCAUUUCCAUAUGGUGAUCAUCAUUACAUUGCAAAAGCCAUGCUCUACCUACUGAGCCACACAGGACCAUAUAGGAGUAAAAAGAGGGGAAUAUGAAGCAAAAUCUGUAAGAGAAAGCAUGUACACCAUCUAAAGAAGUAUGACACACUGAAGAGAAAACAUGCCCCUAAGACUCCCUCCACCAUCAAGCAGAGCACAUUACUGAAGAUCGUGUCUCAAAAAUCCAUCGACAAAGCUGUGGUGAAGUAUGUGGUCCAAGGGCUCCAACCAUUCGAUGUUGUAGAACAAGAGCCAUUCAGAGAGUUUGUCCAGGAUCUGCAGCCUAACUCAAAGAUCUUAUCAAGGCCCACACUGUGCUCCAGGAUUGAUGUAGCCUCCACGGAAAUGAAGAAGAAGGUGACUGAGUCCAUAAGAGGAGUUGACCACAUUGCCGCCACCACCACCGACUGCUGGUCUGCAAGAAGACAGAGCUUCCUUGGUGUUACAGACCACUGGAUAGACCCUGACAGUCUCAACAGAUGCUGUGCAGCCCUGGCCUGUAAACGAUUGAGAGGAUCGCAUACCUUUGAUGUGUUGGCAGGCGCCCUAAAUGACAUCCAUUCUGAGUUUGAAAUCAGAGGUAAGAUUGUGAGAACAACAGACAACGGCUCUAACUUCUUGAAAGCUUUCGAAGUUUUUGGAGAAAAUUAAAACAACGAGGCAGUGGGUGGUGAAGCAGCUCAGCCAGGACAAGAAGAUGGUGAAGAGGAACAAGAGGAGAGUGAAGAAGUGGAGUUUGUUGAUGUGGCAACGAUGAAUGAAGAUGAUGGUUUUGAGUACCAGCUGCCGAAGCACCAGCGUUGUGCUUGCCACCUACUCAACUUAGUAUCUACAGUCGAUGCCCUGAAAGCAACAUCCAGUGAGGCUUACAAAUAAGUGUCCCGUUUGGAACAAAUGCUGAAGAUCCACACUUGCAGCCGAAACGGUUGAAGAUGCUUGCAACCUCCAGCUGCUGCGCCCGAAUGCUACAAGGUGGAUCUCCUGGUUCAUGGCUGUAGAAAGACUCCUGAGGAUUGUUAAAGACAAAGGAGAGGCGGCCGUCAGAGUUCUCUGCACAGACUUCGUGGUUCCAAUGUUCAAUCCAGCUGAACUCGCCUUCCUCACAGAGUAUGCUGCCACCAUGAGCCCAGUUGCAAAGGCCGUCAACAUGGCUACUUCCAACUAUCAACCUCCUGAAACACGAAACUUGACCGAAUCAAGUUGUCCCUGAAGUGGUGUAAGCCUCUGGUGGAUGCGCUACAACUGAGACUGAAGAAGCUCUUCAGCCACAUGUUUCACGACCCUGAGCAGAUCGCAGCUGCGAAUCCUUCUCCCCAAAUUCAAAACAACGUGGACAAAGGAUGACGCCACCAUCAGAAUGGGAAUGGACUACAUCAAGGACCACCUGGAAGAACCCUUGCUGCAGCUAGGUGAUGGCACCAGUUCAUCAGAUGAGGAGGACUUCUACUCUGCCAUGAAGACGUAUCAAGCACAAGAAAGCUCCAAACAGCUGGACGGAUACCUGGCCUGUUCAUCUGAUCAUAUGGAGUUGCUCAAGUCCUUCCCGGCAGUCUGUAAGCUGUCUCUGAGGCUAAACACACCCUUACCUGCAUCAGCUGCAUGUGAAAGGCUGUUCAGCAUUGCAGGAUUUGUUUUCAGCCCCAGGAGAGCAAGGCUGGAUUCCAGAAAUGUUGAAAACCAGCUUUUACUGUAGAUGAACCGUAAAUUCUUCAACUUCAAGUAAUGACAGCUUAAUGCUAGCAAGCCCAAGGACACGGGUGCCUUAUCCGUUUUGUUGAUUUAUGUUUAAAAUUCACAAGUUAUAGGUGUCCUUGUUACAAAGGCAUGACCUGACACACUGAUUUCUAAUGCAGUUCUAUCAGUGGUGAUGUCCUCAUAUUCCUACAGUGAGGUUGUGUGCAGUUCAUGUACUUUUGAUAAGCUCAUAAAAAAAAAUAUAUUUUUAUGUAUAUGGUUCUAUUAUAGGAUGUUUUUUCUAAAGCAAAUUGACUGUGAUUGUAAGUGAUUACGUUUACUGGCUAUAUUCCUUCAUUAUUAAGGCAUAAUUCUAUUUUGUCUGUAAGAGAUGUAUUUUGAAGUGUUGCUUAUUUGAGAAUCCACGUUCUUUAAAAACAAAUCUGAGCUCUUCUUGUAUCCGUAAGACUAUUACCUUUCAGAAAAGCUCAAACCAAAUAAAAGGUCUGGCUGUUUUGCUUUUUGGAUUUACGGCUCUUACAUUUCAUACUUUUACUUUUGAUACUUAAGUACAUUUUCCUUACGGCUAUUUAAUAUCAGGUACU